rnacentral:rRNA from 1 species
CGGGAGGCAGCAGCAGUGAGGAAUAUUGCACAAUGGGGGGAACCCUGAUGCAGCAACGCCGCGUGGAGGAUGACGCAUUUCGGUGUGUAAACUCCUUUUAUAUGUCAAGAAAAUGACGGUAGCAUAUGAAUAAGCACCGGCUAACUCCGUGCCAGCAGCCGCGGUAAUACGGAGGGUGCAAGCGUUACUCGGAAUCACUGGGCGUAAAGGACGCGUAGGCGGGUUGGAAAGUCAGGUGUGAAAUCCUACAGCUUAACUGUAGAACUGCACUUGAAACUUCUAAUCUAGAGUAUGGGAGGGGGAGAUGGAAUUAGUGGUGUGGGGGUAAAAGCCGUAGAUAUCACUAGGAAUACCUAAAGCGAAGGCGAUCUCCUGGAACAUUACUGACGCUAAGGCGUGAAAGCGUGGGGAGCAAACAGGAUUAGAUACCCCCGUAGUC